UGUAAAAAUGAAAACCAAAUUUGUAACAAAACACAAAUAAAACAAAGAAAAAUGAGAAGAAAUGCCCUUUUCCUCCUUUAGAGUUAUAUGGUCACGAUCUUGGGAGCUAGACACCAAUACAAAGAUUAAGAUAUGCAUAGUUAAGGAUUCUAAAUGCCGCUCACAAGAAUGAUGAAGGCUAGAACAAAUGACGCUCACACGGGAUAAGAAAUAUAGCAAAUACCAACCAGGGGAAUCCUAUCCACCAUAGAGAUCAACACCAUCUUACCACUUUCUCGUGAACUAGGGGUUCAAACGUCCUCAAAAGUUCUAAACCGGGCUACCUUAGCUUACAAUGUGUCUAAUUCAACCCAAAGCAUUCUCAAAGCGUGUAAACCCUCAUCAACUAGGAAGAUAAGCAUUCAAAGACACAUCGUCAAGAGAGGCAAACCAAUCCAAAAGAGUGAGCAAAUUACAAAUCAAAAAUCAUUUCAAAUUGUCAUAAUUAUGCUUGUAACACAAAAAGGGAAAAAUUGAACAAAAGAAAGAGGAAGAAAUAAAAAAAGGUUCACAUACAAGGCAUAUAAUCCAAUUAAAUCCCAAUCGUCAUACAAGUGAUCGUUCGAUAACAACAUCAACGAUCCCAGGUUCCAUAGAACCAAAAGCUAACGUCCUCGAACCAUUCAACUACUUCCUAAGCAAAACCUAAGCUAAACACCCAAAGAAAAGGAAAAUAAAAGAGAGCAAAGGUCUCACCAAAUGCCGCUUGAAAUGAGGACAAGAUAAAUUAUGCAAGCUCACCGAGGGGGCUCGAUUUUCCCCAUAACUUCUUUUAUCUCCAUUUCCAAGCUUGAAAAGUGAGCCAAAACGAAAGAAACGACUAAGAUAAAACAAAAAUAAAUAAAAAGGUUAAAAAAAGGAAACUAAGACUUUAAACAAAAUGAAGAAAUAGAAAUAAAAUAAAACAAUCUAAAAAAAAUUUGGAGUAAGGGAAAUUUUGAUUAUUGGGAGUUUGGAAUUUUCUUCAUAGGAGCGCCAUCACCUACACAAACAGUUGAAAAUUCAUUAGCAAAAGCUUAUCAAAAUUACCCAGAGACAUCAUCAUCACAAUCAAGAAGAUAAAUCAACAUCAAAACAUGAUAAAGCCAAACCGAACCAUUAGAGCUCUCCCACUGACAAUGAAAUCCCCCCCAAACUAGCAUGAUGAUAAGCCUUCACCACUACUACAAUAAGAGUAUUUUCUCCAGGACCCUCGACGCUGGGCAAGGAUAGUCAACUAUUAAAUAUACUAUGCGCAUUAUCUCGACGCUUUUCUCGGUCAAAAUUAAUUUUCGGCGCUUUAAAGCGUCCAGAAACAGUAACACGUGCCCUUCACGUGACUUUAAAACCCACUAUUGUAAAAUUUAGGGAAAAUGAAACCGCCGAACGCAAAAAAAAAAACCUCUAGUCUUACUACUCAAUUGUAAACCUAACUAUUCUUCUUUCUUUCAAUCCUAAUUCUACAAAGACACUUAUGGAACUGUUGAUUCCAAACUCAGAUCUUUGUUUUUCUCGCAGCAAUUUUAAAAUGAGGACUAUCAUUUUGUAAAUCAGAUUUUUGCUCCUCUUUGAAGUUAUUUCGAAUUGAGGUACAUCAAUUUCAUAUUCAGAUCUUUGUUCUUAUCAGGUUCAAAUUCGAAUUCAGUGUUAGUUUUUCGAAGGAGCUGCUGUGAGUGUUGACUUCGUUGGACUCGUUCUACUUCGUUAGGGAAGAUUUUUAGGUGAUGUUUUUUUGAAUCUGGGUCUUUUUAUGUCUUCUUUCUGACUUUAAAAUUUCAGAAUUUUUGUAGUCACUUUGCUAUAAAAAUGGGCUGUUUUAUUUGGACUGCUCUGUUUUAGUUCGUAUUUGUUUAUUCUUGUUGUUUGGCUGCGAUUUUAAUAGGGUUGUACUGUAAUUUUUUCAAGGGAGUUUCUGUGUCAUUUAGGCUAUAUUGAGAGUGUUUGAAAUUAUUAUUGCACUCUUUAUUGCCCAUGUGUUUCUUCCUUCUACUGUUUUUCUUGUUCGUUUAUUUUUCACUUGUUUGUUAUUACUAGGUAGAUGAAUUGCUAAAUAAAAUAACUUGUGGAUGAUUUCCAUUAGAAAAGUGAGUAACUUUAUUAGAGAACAAAACAACUAAAUAGUCAGUCGAGGCUUUCUCUAAACUAAUACUUGACAACAUAAAGAAGAAGAAAAAAAAAGAGGAUAGUGACGACGAUUCUUCAAGUGACGACGAGGGUCAAAGCACUCUAAUCUCGAUAAUAAGGAUAUAAACUUGUUCCCAAUUUUGCAUAGAGAUGGCCAUAUUAUAUGAGGAUGCUAUUGAAAUUUCUAGAAAAUUAUCUAAAUGCUUCCUUUUCUCUAUAUGAAUUUGUGGUGCAUUGUAUGUUGCCUAUGUUUUUGUUGCCUAACAAAAUUAAAGCAGGAAUGCUUUAGUAAUGUUGAAGUCAAUGGCCAGAAGAAAAUCAUUGAACCGGCUUUUAUAGCUUGCUUUAACUUUGGAAUAUCAUGAAUGUCAUUCUAUGUUAGGCAAGCAUACACAAAUAAGUUAGGUAUUUAUCUUAAAUUGAAAUUUUUCUACCAUUCAUUGUUACUUAGUUAGCGGGACUGCCAUUUUAAGCUUCAAUAUAGUUAAAGAACUACCGAUAAAGUUCUGUUUAUUUUCUUAUUCAUAUACCAGGCAUUGAUGCAUCUGUUCCUGUACCUUGUUUUGGUGUAGGAUUCUAAAUUGUUUUACAAGUGCGUGAGAGAUUUAAAAUCCUUCAUUAUAAAGAAACUAUUGCAGGAAAGGUAGGUAUAGGGUCACAUGCUGCUAGUGGUGUCAAGAAAUACAUGGGAGAAUGUCCAGGAAGGAAUAUUGAAUCACUUGCUUCCUUCCCAUUAAUUCAAAUUCUUAAAAAGCUUGUUUUACUUAAUGGUUCGUUCAAUCCUCUGAGGUAAAUACACGAGAUGGCUUAUUCAAAGGUCCUAUUAUGGAUGGAAAAAGGUAAAACUUUGUCCCAAUAAAUUAGUCCAAAUUGCAUAAAUAACUUAUAAUUUAUUAUGAUUUCUCUUCAUUUCUUGCUGCUUGAUAGUUUAAUAAAGAUAUGGAAUUUGAACAAGUUAUCUGGGAUUAUCGGAGUGGUUUACUGUCGGAGUAGGGGGUUGGCCAUUGAAAGAUAAUAUUCUUGAUACUUUAAUACCAGGAAUUAUUUCAGGCCAAAUCAGGCCCACUGAGGUCGAAUUCCUUGGAAAGGUUGGUGAUGAUACCUCGCAAUGAGAUUGUGUAGUUUAUGCUUUCAAUUCCGAUAAACUUGUCAUUUAAACUUAGCAGUGUAGCAUAGCCUAAUAAACUUUCCUGAUAUGUUCAAGUAGUUGCUUGACUACUAAUAAUUCUCCGAAUUACAUGAUACACUACUAAAACCAUCACCAAAAUUCCAAAUAUUGGAAAAGUGGAAGUGUCAUUUGGCGUUCUGACAUGUGAAUUAUAUACAAUAUGUUCUAUAAAGGUUAGUAAUCAACAUACCCAAUCCUUAUUUUCAUUUUUUUGUAUCUAUGUGUGGCAAAUUUUUAUUGUUGCGGUUAUUUCUAUUUGAGGAUUACAGGUAUAAGAUUAUUGAUUAAUUUGACUGAUUUUUUUUUUCAUCAGACAACCUUCAAGGGCAGUUGCUUCCACUCUAAAUUUUCCCUUCUUCCUCCAUUCAUGAUGAACUUUGCUUUACGCCCUCUUGCAAGCAUAUUAAGGAGCAGCUAAAUUGGAGAUUGAUUGAAGAUUUUUUUUUUAGAAGAAAUGAGCAAAUUUCUUCCACUACAACUAGUCACGAAUUAAGUAUAAGUUGGAAUAAUAUCUAUUGUAAUAGAAAACUCAUUACUAUGAGAUAUUGUACAUAUACUAUAAUAUACCUAUGUGAAAUAAAAAGAAGUUUGGCCCAUUUUUUUUUGCA